AAGAGUACGUGAAACCGUCUAGAGGUAAACGGAUGGGACCGCAUCAGUCCCCCUCGGAUUCAACCUGCCCUUCCCGGUCGCGCUCGGGCCUUCGUUUCUCGUGAAGUUGGCUCGGGUUUAACGGCUGGGUGGGUGGGCGCACUUUCUUGGGGGUUCUUUGCCAGGACCGGUUCGAGAGUGGCGAGAUACUGUCGAUGCAAGGUAGCCAUCCUCCGGGAUGGUGUUUAGGCUAGACAGAGGCCGACGCGCUCUCGGACCGAGGUAACUCUCCCGCCGCUGUAUGGGCCCCGGGUCCUCGUCGUCGGUUCGACUCGCGUGGACUGGUUCCAGUGCUCGCGGACUGCCGUGCGGCGCAGAGGCUCGGCUCACCCAUGCAAGCUCAGGGUCCCUGGCCUUCCGGUCGGCACCCCAUCCGACCCGUCUUGAAACACGGACCAAGGAGUCUAACAUGUGCGCGAGUCAUUGGGUGGCAAACCCACAGGCGCAGUGAAAGCGGAGGUCGGCUCGAUCGGCAUCAGGUGGGAUCUCGUCCCCUCGGGGGCGGGCGCACCACCGGCCCGUCUCGAUCUCAUCGUAGAUGAGGCGGAGCAAGAGCGUACAUGCUGGGACCCGAAAGAUGGUGAACUAUGUCUGAGUAGGACGAAGCCAGAGGAAACUCUGGUGGAGGUCCGUAGCGAUUCUGACGUGCAAAUCGAUCGUCAAACUUGGAUAUAGGGGCGAAAGACUAAUCGAACCAUCUAGUAGCUGGUUCCCU
rnacentral:rRNA from 1 species